ACACGUAAGGGAAGUUCACCACGACGGCGAACCCAGGCUCCACACCUAGGUGUUCCCUGUGGACCUCGCACCCGGACAUGAUCGCGUCGUGAAACUCAAACGGCACGCCGCACGACUUCGCCAUGUUGGCGAGCUUCUCACCUACCAAGGUGAGUCCUCCCCCACGGGCGUAGUAAGACUGUGAAUCAUCCACGCCAACAUGUGUUUUCAUUUGGAAAAGUAUCACACAUCACCUCCUCAUAAUUUUGUUCUUUUUUUACAUGUUUAAUUGACUUUGUACACUAUAAAUAAUGCUAUUCUUUUUUGUAAAAAGUUAGAAGUAAUAAUCUCAUUUCUCAUUUUUCUUACGUACACACAAACAUAAUAUAAUAAUAUAAUAUUAAUACAGAAAGUAAAAGUACUCUCUCUUUAUUUUAUUCAAUAGAGCGCUGUUUUUACCACUUAAGAAAUAAUAUAUUGAAACUGUGACAAAAAAAAAAGGAAUAAUAUGUUGAAUCUAUUUACAAGUGACAAAAAAAAAAGGAAUAAUAUGUUGAAUCUAUUUACAAAUGAGAAACUGUGGUCUUUUCGUAGUAUUUUUUUUUUCCAUCGUGGACUUUAAAAUUUCCUCAACUCUUCCCUGAUAAGCUUAGAAUUUAUAUCUUUCACUCAUAGAAGUCGGAGAAGCCCAUAAACAGUUGUACAAAAAAGGCCCAAUUAGUCAGGUCGACUGAACUCAUUUGGUAACAUCUGAAUUAUUACCUAAAAUAGUAAUAGUUUAUUAAUAAUAAGUUUCCUUUUUUACUAAACUAUAAAAACUAGAAUUUCAUAUCUGAUUUAGGUACAAUGAUAUAUAGCAGAUGGAUAUGUGUUUGUAUCCUGGUAUGUUAUGAAAUUGACAGAGCAGUCCUGAGGUUAUUUCUGUUUUAAAUAAUUUAGAAGUUAUAUGUUUAUAUACAUUAUCUUAUAAAAUUUUGAAAAUACUAUGUCAGUGUUUCAGUAUGAUCAUAAAUUUAGUGCUGUAGUUAUUUUUUCUUUCGAAACAAUGGGAUCCGAAGCUAAUAACAAAGCAUGCAACAUGAAUACUGUAUUAUGGAAACUCAAAAACAAACUUAUAGUAAUAUAAUAAACGAAUAGAAACACCAUUCGCAACACACAUUCUUUCUCUACUUUUACACAUUGAAAAUACAACAAUUUCAAUACCAUAUACAAUACACAAAAAUAUAAAAAUUUCGUUUGUAUAAGUUCUACAGGGGCAAGCCCUAAAUAAAAAUCACACACUUAUUGUACGUAAACACUUCUCGAGUGAAGCAAUGUGACUUGAGAACAAAGGCAAAUACGGAGAGAGACUUACGAAGAGUUAGAAGACGGUGCAGUUGCAGGGUUGAAUGCUUUCUGCUCAGCGCAGCUGAGCUCCUCGUUUGGCCCCGCGUCUUCCCUUCCGAUACCCAAGAGGUCGAGGAAGUACAAGUAGUGUGAGACUAUGUUGCUCAUUGGCUCAAUGUCGCCUUGACCACAUGUGUACUCUCCGUACAAAACGUUCAUGGUGGUACCAAAAGUUGGGCCACGUUUGGACAAAGUAUCAUUCUUUGUCGGUUUCCAGUUCCCAACAAAGAUGUCGUGAGCCGAGGGCUGAGCUUUCUUGAUUGGCGUCAUCCAUCUCCAAAUUGCAGCUUGGAAGGCGAGCGUCGCGUUCUGCUCGAUGUACUCGGGGUGGUUCAAUAGAUCGGCUUUUAGGGCUUCUCCAGCUGCACCGUAGUUGAAGUUCCUUCAAAUAAACAUAAGUAAAAGUAUUAAUUAGCCAUGGCGCUUUGGUUCCAGUCAAGAGGAUAGUGUCAAAAUCAAUACUCCAUCCGUUUUAGAAUUUUCACUCAGAAAACAUGUUAAAUUUUGAUUACAAAUGCAUUGUUUUUUUUGUAAUUAGUUAUUUCCCAUAAUUUUUAGUCAAUCAAAAUUCAGUAAACACAUCUAAUGUCUUUAAAAUUUACAAUUUACCAUUAUUACAUGCAUUGAAAAUGUAAAAACUGUAUCUUCUAAAAACAAUUUUUUUCUUUUCUAAGAGCAUCUCCAAAAAGACUCUCUAUUAUAGAGUUUUGCAAACUCUAUAUUUGAAGUUUCAAGGUGUUCUUCUCCAAAAGGAAAACUUCAAAUUUAACUUCAAAACUAUUUGUAAUUUACAUUAUGCUCCUUAUAUUUAUCAUAACUAAUAUAAAUCCAUAAAACUUUUGUAGAUAACUAGCACAUAUAUAAAAAUAUUAUAGUAAUAUUAAUUAAUAAAAUAUUACAUUAAAAUAUAAAAUUAUAAAUAGAAAUACAUAAUUAAAUAUUAAACUACAAGGAAAAUACCACAUUAUUACAUAAAAUUAUUUUAUUAAUGCUCCAUUUUCGGUUAUACAAAAUUUGUUUGGACAAUAUUUUAGAAGUUCCGGAGAAAAAAUUUACUAGACUAUUAGUGUUGAUGUAAUAUUUAAAUUUGUAUAACAAUUAUGUCUUCAUGUAUAUAUCUUCUUAAAAGAAUUAUUAAGUUUCUUUUGUAAUAUUCUUUUUGUCUAAAUUUAGUUUUAAAAUAUUAUAAAUCUUUAUUUUGAUUUUUAAAAAAACUUUUAUAUGUAAAAUUUUAAUUUAUAAAAAUAAAUUUGAAAUAUUUAAAAUUUACAAAAGUUUUAAAAAUUAAAACCAUGAAUGAAAAAUACUUAAGAAUCAUAAAUGUGAUGUAUAAUUAAUUAUAAGGACCAAAAUGCAAAUAAAAAGAUGAAACUUCAAAUUUAGAGUUUUGAGUAGUGAAACUUCAUAUUUGAAGUUUCACUUCUUAAAACUCUAAAUUUGAAGUUUUGAAGUUCCUUUUUGGAGAGCCAAAAACUCUAUAUUUGAAGUUAUAGAGUUUCUUUUGGAGAUGCUCUAAGCCAUUGAUCGGACCUCCGUUUGAUGCUUGAUUGAUUUAGAAUCGAUGUUUGAUUGAUUUAGAAUCGGGUCAGAUGGGUGGGAUUGGUGAUCCGGGAGCACUCGGGGCUUACUUUAGAGGAGGUCAGAGAAGAAGUUCUUCUUCUCCGAGGAUCCAAGAGUGUUGGAGGCGGCGUGUACGUUGUCUGGGUUUGGGUUUCCUAGGAAUAAGCUAGGGAGGUUGUAUAAAGAGGAAAGGUCUGUUUUUUUUUUGGCAGAUUGGGGAUGCGAUUGGUUUGGUGCUGGGUAGGUUGAAUGGGGUGGGGUUUAGUACUGUGGCUGUGGCUGGUGUUUGUUUAGCGUUUCCGAGUGUUCUGCGUGGUGGUGUGAAGAGUGGUCACAUGUAAUCUUACAUGUAAUCUUGUGAGUUUGAGUUUGUUGAUUCAUUGGUGAAUAGCACAAGUGUUUUUUUUAAGAACUCCUAAUGGGGUUUUACCAUUGAUGCAAAGAAAACAAAACUACUUUAACAAGGUCUCUUAAAAAAAAUUUAGUAAUUAAAUAUUACUUAAGAGACACAAUUGGAUCUUUCCUCACUUUGAAAAUAUGAAGUGUGUAAUGCUCGUAUACUUUGAUAAUAAUAUACAACUAGAAGAAUGGGUCCAAAUAUUAAUGAAACAUGGUCAUUCCAGUUGCGAGAUGAUGCAGACACAUCUCAAUACAGUAUGUUUUCUAUUCUCUUCCUAUUAAUAUAAAUAUACUUUAAUUAUUUUAUAUUGAUACAUGUGAAGACACUACAUGGAAUUAAGCGCUUGAAGUCCAACUUUGAUGAAGAUAUUAAUUCUAAAUUGUUUGAGAUUUUCUAUGCUCAUCCUUACCUAAGCUGUGUGCAUUUGUUUGAGAAUGCACUGCGACGUUACUCCGACAUAGUGCUCUUGAAAACUCUACAAGCAUGUGUCACCACCCACGGAAGACAUGAAGAGAUCGGUAUUACCGGCUUUCUGCGAAAGAGAUAUUCAUUGUGACUAAAAUCACAGAAGACUCCCUUUGGACAUAUCUCGCGGCCACCGUAAUAAUGAUUACACAAAGGCUUCAGCCUCAUCAUGGUUUUGUAUUGGAGAAUGAAAUGGUUAUUGCUAAAAUUAUUUAAACUUUUAUACUCUUUUAAAUUGUUUUAUAAACCAUGUUUUCAACACAUAGUAAGCUCUUUAGUUAAAGAAAUGUUGAAGUAAAAAAGUUGCCAACCAAAUCAUACUUAUCGAGUCAGCCUGAAACUUCUUAAUUCAACCUUGUCAUAUCUAAAAAUAACAUAAAAGAAGCAUCACAUAAGAAUUAACCAGUGUAAAUACUAACCAUUUACCUCUUUGGCUUAAUUUCUUCAUUGCUCUGACUACUGUCCAAGUGAGUCAUCAGCAUAGCCAGCUGCUUAGCUGCAAUCUUCAUCAACCUUGCUUCACGUUUAAGCCUUAACAUCUACUCGUUAUCAUGCUCAUCCAAGCCCAUAAUCAUGUUCCUGAAGUGUGCAAUGCACGUACAUCUCUAUUUGUGAUAUAAUACACAAUCAUGUUUUCUAUUUUCUUUUGGUUAAUUGUGUCAGUAUAUCUUACCGUUAGCAAGUUAAAAACAUCUUUCAUAUAUACAAUCUUGCAUCUGAGAAGUCAUCUUUUUGUGAACGUCACAUUGCCUUCAAUGGGUAAGGUUUAAAACUCUCACACUAUACUAAAUCAAAGUUUUGUAAUUUUCACCGUUAAUUAAACUUCCUUUAUACGUAAAUAAUACACAAAUUGUUGAUACAUUUGGGAACAAAGAGAGCUACAUCAAUAUAAACGUAUUAUUUACAUCUGUAAAAGAUUAAGAGGCUAAUUUCUGCAAGGUUUUGAGGAUAUGAUUUUAAUGUUACACGACUAGGACCAAUUUAAAUUCCAUAAACAAUUGUUCAAUGUGCUAAAUAUACUUUAUAAUAAAAUUAGCUAUAUCAAGUUUUUAGAUGUUAGUUGUGAUGUAAUGGUUUAAAUCCCAUCUAAACAUUUUCUAAAUGUUUACGUUCAAACCAUGCAAAAUGGAAUCUGAAAAAUUAGAAAUGACCAUAUGAAAAAAAAUUAACCUAGAAAUAACGGUUGUGUCAUGUAUGCAUGUGGUUGUCCACUAUGGUAUGGUGUCCAGUUUAACAUUCUAACAUGAAGAGAACAAAGAUGCCCUUGAAAAUCUAUCUUUCAAGUCUUUGUUCUAGUGUUAUUGCACUUAUGAACAACUCUGAGUAAUUAUCAAUUUAUCCAAAAACAUAUAUGGACAUAUUCUAGUACUUCUCUAAAUACCUAAACAUCAAUAGCAUCUGCUACAACUCUUGUGGUUUCCAUUUUCUAAGUUCAGCAUCGACGAUGCAGUGUGCUUCCUCUGCGAUCUCUGCGUUUCUCAAUGCAGAAUCAAUAGCCUCCUCUACCUCUUCCAUCUCUUUCAUCUUCUCCUCCAACAUCAUCUCCCCUUCUACUCUGCUCUCCUUGAUCUCUUCCAGCUGAACAGCAACCGUUUUGGCCUUGUACUGAACCAUUCUCUCUGACUCUUCAUGCUUCCCUCUCAACUCCUCGUACUCUUUCAAUGAUAUUCUAAUCUUCUUAUCAGGCUCAUUGUGAGUCAAACUCUCCUUCUUAUCAGUAAGCACUCUCAUGUCUUCCACGGCUCUCUUCUCCGCGGUUUUCGCUUUCGCCACCGCUCUUCUAGCUGCUUCACUGCUUCACCCAUCACUGUACGCCUGCCUGAUGUUUCUCUCCUGAGUUCAUCCACCUGCAUCCUCAUCUCCUCCGCUUCUUGUCUUGUCCUCUCAGCUUCACUGAUGAUUUCAUCGACCUUUCGACUCGCUUCAACCCAUUCUACUUCUUCAAAAGCUUCUCUCUCGUUCUCCUUUCCCUUCAGAUCUCUGUUCUCUCUCUGCACACCAUCCAACUCCACCGUGAGGGAUCCCACCAAGCUUCUGUAUGAUAUUUCUUCAUCAAAAAUCUCACGCAUCGCGCUCUUAGCCUCUUUUAGCUCCAUAGCAAGUUUGAUCUCCUCUUGUAAAAGCUCGUUCUCCGCAGAUAUCUCCUCCAGCUCAUCUAUAUCUUUCCUCAGCUCAGGGUCACACCCUCGUCUCAGAUCCUCCAGCCUCAGCUCAGCCUCUCGUUUCAUAUCCCCGUAAGUUUUCCCCAUGUCCAUUCUCUCCUCGUUGAUCUUUUCCUCUUCCUUUUGUAUCCUAUCAGCACCUGACUUCAACCUCUCAGCAGCGUCACACAUUUCAGCUAUCUCAUGCGUCAUGUCUCUGAUUUUUUGGGAGUUAACCACUGUUGCGCACUCUGCUUCAUCUGCUCUUUGAAGCUCUGAUAGCCUCUCUUCCACGGAAAUGCUGAACUCUUGUUUUAUCUCCGCGAGCUUUUGCUUGGCCAUGAGUAGCUCCGCGGUGGCUAAAAUGUAAUUCUCUCUUGCGCGCUCUGUUUCUUGGUUUUGGGAUUGGAGUUUUUCUAACCGUUGGUUCAUUGUGUGUUUGGUUAGGAUGGCAGAUUUUUUGGAUUGUUUAGUGGCUUCUAGUUUAGCCCUCAAGUCAAAGGCCUUUCGCUGUGCAGAGUCGAGAGCAGAGAGAGCUCUUGCUUUGGCUUUGACAGAGGUAUCGAGACAGAGCUGGACUCUGUCCAUUUCUUGUUCUGCUAACAGAAGCUGUGUCUCUUUUUCCGACACAUCCGUUGUGUCCUUAAAAGAAUAAAGAAAGAAAGAAAACCACUUCACAAAGAUGCAAAAUGGGAAUGAGAGAAGGAGCCAGAGAAGAGUGAAUGUACCUGAGAGGAUAAGGAGGAGAGACGCGGUUGUUGCUGCUUUGAGAAGCUAGCUUGACGAAAUAAACUAACGGCGUCUCUAACGGAUUGGAAGGGAGGACGAGUGUCAAUCUCUCCCACCUCACUCAUCCGAGGAGGAGUCUCCACCGGAGCAUCCGCUCUGAUCUUCGCCAUAGAUCCUCUCUCUUGACACAAAAUGUUUCGUCUUGUUUGACGUGUUGAAGCAGAGAGAGAGAGAGAGAGAGAGUUUGAUGUUGGUCCUCUGGAUCUUGCGUCUUCCAAAUAAUGAAGCAGAGGCUCGCCAUGUUUUUCGCUUUUUUGUCACUCUAAGGCCUUCAUUUUCCUUUCCUUCGUCCAUUCUUCUGUUUUUUUUUGGUAAACUCGUCCAUUCUUCUGUUUAUAGAUAUCAAUUCUUUUUUUUUUUUUUGUAACAUCAAUUCUUUGAAUUCUAAAAUAAGAAACCUUGAAAUAUUUAGAAAUAAUAUCAAAACGUAAUAUAGUAGAUACUAGAAGUUUUAAUUUGCCCGUUUUAGUAAAUACAAACCAAGGUUUCUUUGUAUAAGUGGAAGUCGCUCAAUUCCCUCUUUGACUUAUAAGGAAUUGGACUCUUCUUCUUUGGUUCCAAGUCUUCUGGUUGUUUUUUUUUUUUUUUUUUUUUUUUUGUCAACAAGUCUUCUGGUUGUUUAGUUAUAACUUAUUGGAUGAAACAGCAAAUGGUGAUGGAAAAUUAGACAAACAACAGUUAGCAAGAAUCAUAACUGAUAUCAUAUAGGGUGAGUAAAGUUUUUUUUUUUUUUUUGAUCAACGGGUGAGGGAUGUUUAAAUAGACCAAUUUAAAUGGGACUGACCUGCUCCAUUUUAACAUCUCUACUUGAAUGAAAAAGAAUAAAAGUGGAGACGAUGACUUAGUUUUGUGGGUUGGUUGGUGAACUUCUUCUAAGGCUUACCAGACAGAACCACAAUCUGGCCUGUAAGUUUUGGUCUGAAUAUGUUUACUUCAAACCUUUUGGUUCAGCACUCAUACAAUUAUUACAGAAGAUUAAGUAAUGCUUUGGUUAUAGUUCACUAGUAACACCCACUCCCACAACAGCAGCAAAUUUACAGGAGAAAAAACAACCACCACCAGGUUUGCUGUGUAUACAAAUAUAUAUAACUAGUUGACUUGUAAUUUGUGUUACAACUUAAAACAUCAUUACACAUCCUCAAAAAUUUACAGGCUGCCAGAUGUGUACUCUUCUUCUUCAUCCACUCUCAGUUCACCACCAUGUCCUACACAAUCUGAUUCAGGUUUGGUUUCCAAGCGGAACAUGUAGCCAUGGGUCUCCUCUUCCAAAAGAGAUACAACGCUCCAUCACUCCCUCCUAGUUUAUAGUUUUUAUCGUAACCUUUCAGCAUCUCACUCGCCGCAAACGCCGCGGAUCCGCCAACCGGCCAUCCCACGAACCCUGCCAUCAUCAUUCUCACCCUCCACUUCCCAAGCACCUCGUGUCUCUCAACUCUCUCCCUCUCCUCGCACGCUAUCAUGUUCACUAUAUCCCUCGCCACACAGUGCUGCUCCGCGCUGAUCCUCUGCUUAUCAUCCCUCGGCCUCGCCGCAUCGAUCGACUCAAACAUCGCCGUGUAGUAAUCAAGCGUCUCCGCGAACCGCGACAGGAAAGGCGACGUGUUGGUGUUGGAUUCUUGCUCCACCAGCGUCACGAGCCUCGGUCCGAGGCUCUUGAUCAGAUGGAGCAGCCUGUCUCUAUGAUUCUCCACGCUCACGCUCUCGUCGGGCAUGUGGUGCAACACGUAAGGGAAGUUCACCACGACGGCGAACCCAGGCUCCACACCUAGGUGUUCCCUGUGGACCUCGCACCCGGACAUGAUCGCGUCGUGAAACUCAAACGGCACGCCGCACGACUUCGCCAUGUUGGCGAGCUUCUCACCUACCAAGGUGAGUCCUCCCCCACGGGCGUAGUAAGACUGUGAAUCAUCCACGCCCGUGACACGCAGCAACGGUGGCCCACCGGGGCGUUUAGCAAGCUCGUGGAUGAGGAACAUGUACUGUGAUCCCUGCGCGAUCUGGAAAUCGAU
rnacentral:lncRNA from 1 species